rnacentral:lncRNA from 1 species
UACUGUGAGCAAAUUCCAUUCGAGCCCUUACUGUAAACACGUCUCUUCCGCACUUCCAUUACAGGUAGACUUCAGCCGAGCUUCUUCGUAGCCGGAUACCAGACGAGCUUCUACAGCAGGAUAGGACCCACCAGCCAGAUCACUACUCCUAGCUCCCAUGACAAUCGAUCUUCGAUCAAGCUUCUACAAUAAGCGAUCUCCUUUCAGCCCUCUACAAGAACCAGACCUCGACCGAACUUCCAUAGCGAAUGGAUAUCGGACGAGCUUCUACGAUGGACGGACUCCGACAGCUGGAUUCUUACAAUGAUUGAUUGCCUCCGACGUCUACCGAACCUCCCCAGCACCAUCCGAAGUCCAUCAUCGACCGACCCUCUGCUAGAUCCUUCAUGAAAUCGAACUUCUCCGAUGGAUCAUCUUCAGACGAGCUUCCACAUCAGGCAAAUCCCAGACGGACUUCUCUAGCAAUUGGACUCCUACUGGGCCUCACCAACGAAAAGUCUCCAUCCGAGCUUCUACAGCAGAUGACUCCUACCUGUAGUAUCAAUGCCUAAGGUAUCCGAUAGUAGUAGACUCGCCAACAGCUUUGGAGACAUCCGAGCUUCUCCCAGAUCGAUGGGAUAGAGAGCCAUUCCGCUCCAUCAGACAUCCCAGCCGAGCUUCAACCGACAGAUCCGAACUCUCUGGCAAGUCACGACAAUGGCCACUACCCUACUCCACUUUCUGUAGCGGAUUCCACGUGGCUCUACUACUCUCUGGCAAGUCACGACAACGGACACCACUCUACUCUCCAUAGCAAACUCCACGUGGCCCUGAACGACCUCUGACGCCACUACUCUCCGUAACAAACUUUGGGUGGCUCUG